rnacentral:tRNA from 1 species
GAGGGUAUAGCUCAGUGGUAGAGUGUGUGCUUAGCAUGCAUAAGGUCCUGAGUUCAAUCCUCCAGUACUUCCA